rnacentral:rRNA from 1 species
AUUGAACGCUGGCGGCAUGCUUUACACAUGCAAGUCGAACGGCAGCACGGACUUCGGUCUGGUGGCGAGUGGCGAACGGGUGAGUAAUACAUCGGAGCGUGCCCAGUUGUGGGGGAUAACUACUCGAAAGAGUAGCUAAUACCGCAUGAGAACUGAGGUUGAAAGCAGGGGAUCGUAAGACCUUGCGCAACUGGAGCGGCCGAUGGCAGAUUAGGUAGUUGGUGGGAUAAAAGCUUACAAAGCCGACGAUCCGUAGCUGGUCUGAGAGGACGACCAGCCACACUGGGACUGAGACACGGCCCAGACUCCUACGGGAGGAAGCAGUGGGGAAUUUUGGACAAUGGGCGAAAGCCUGAUCCAGCAAUGCCGCGUGCAGGAUGAAGGCCUUCGGGUUGUAAACUGCUUUUGUACGGAACGAAAAGCUUCGGGCUAAUACCCUGGAGUCAUGACGGUACCGUAAGAAUAAGCACCGGCUAACUACGUGCCAGCAGCCGCCGUAAUAC